UACGGAGGGUGCGAGCGUUAAUCGGAAUUACUGGGCGUAAAGCGCGCGUAGGCCGCUUUGUAAGUCAGAGGUGAAAUCCCAGCGCUCAACGUUGGAAUAGCCUUUGAUACUGCAGAGCUUGAGUUCGUGAGAGGGUGGCGGAAUUCCUGGUGUAGGAGUGACAUCCGUAGAGAUCAGGAGGAACACCGGUGGCGAAGGCGGCCACCUGGCACGAUACUGACGCUGAGGUGCGAAAGCGUGGGGAGCAAAC
rnacentral:rRNA from 1 species